UACGUAGGGUGCAAGCGUUGUCCGGAAUUAUUGGGCGUAAAGCGCGUGUAGGCGGCUUUGCAAGUCGGGUGUGAAAGCCCUCAGCUCAACUGAGGAAGUGCGCCCCGAAACUGCAGAGCUUGAGUGCCGGAGAGGGUGGCGGAAUUCCCCAAGUAGAGGUGAAAUUCGUAGAGAUGUGGAGGAACACCAGUGGCGAAGGCGGCUUUUUGGUCUGUAACUGACGCUGAGGCGCGAAAGCGUGGGGAGCAAACAGG
rnacentral:rRNA from 1 species